rnacentral:rRNA from 1 species
CCUACGGGAGGUAGCAGUGGGGAAUAUUGCACAAUGGGGGAAACCCUGAUGCAGCGACGCCGCGUGAGUGAAGAAGUAAUUCGUUACGUAAAGCUCUAUCAGCAGGGAAGAAACACUUACCUUACGGUCAGCAGACGGUACCUGAGUAAGAAGCCCCGGCUAACUACGUGCCAGCAGCCGCGGUAAUACGUAGGGGGCAAGCGUUAUCCGGAUGUACUGGGUGUAAAGGGAGCGUAGACGGUUGGCCAAGUCUGGAGUGAAAUGCCGCAGCUUAACUUCGGAACUGCUUUGGAAACUGGCGAACUAGAGUGCGGGAGGGGUAAGCGGAAUUCCUAGUGUAGCGGUGAAAUGCGUAGAUAUUAGGAGGAACACCGGUGGCGAAGGCGGCUUACUGGACCGUAACUGACGUUGAGGCUCGAAAGCGUGGGGAGCAAACAGGAUUAGAUACCCUAGUAGUC